CCCAGCAGAAGUUCGGCUUCGCGUUCUUUGGCCUUUUCUGGCCGGGUCACAUCGACACGCCCCCGAUGCGCUUGUCAGGCAGCCGCUGGGGAGGACUCGGCGGGAGCCUCAAAUACCACCUACUCCCGGGCCUCUCUCCCAGUUGAUGCUUCUAUUUUAGGCACCACGUUAUUUCCUGCUGUGAUUUUCUUCUGCCGCUAAUUCGGGCUCUGAGAUAUACUACUGCCCUGAAAUCACAUCACCCAAAGCUACUCGCUCUGGACAAAAGUAUUCCCAUAUACUGACCUGCCUCCUGACGCAACAAUCCCAAAGUAUCAAGGAUCCGACAU